GUGACUUGGUAGGGGUCCCGACCAGGCUUUGAAGGGUCGACUUGCAGGGCUAGAUCUAGUCUAAUGCCUAGGGGCAUGAGAAUUUACUAGAUUCUCAUUUGAUAAUGAGAUAGUUUAUUUGGAUUUUGAACUUGGAUUUGAUGGGAAGUUUACGUUACAGUUUGUUUUGAAAGAAAAAGGAAUUAGAAUAUCUGCAAAAAGGAAACAAGAUUGAGAAGUAAAUAUUUCAGAAUGAUACUGAUUUUACUAUAAUCCGAUUUCACAUGAAUUUCAAUAAUUGAAUCUAUGGGAUCCCCCAAUUGAAUCCAUACAAUCAAUAUCUUUGGAAAGAUUAAAUUAAGUCAAUAAAAUCCAAUCAAACUACUUCAGUACAAAUUUCCAAGAAAAAACUUCUUGUAACUUUAAUUUAUUGCAAUAAUACUCUUCUUAAUCCAUUACAAGCUCUAUAAUAAUCUAAUUGAUCCUUCAUGCCUGUUGACUUCUAUAAGUAUAAUUAUUGGCUUUGUUAUAGGUUUUUGUUUUUUUAAUAACUAGCUUUAUAUGUUUUAGAAAAAUUAAUUUGAAUAUUUUGUAUAGUACUGAAAAGACUUUGAUGUGUACAUCCAUCUAAUCAGAAAUUAUUUCCACCUAUAUAUUAUACUUACUUUCAUUGAUUUGUAAUUGUUUUGAAAGAAAAUGGAUUUUCUUCCCUUCUCUUCGAUGCUCGACCAAUGCUUUUAUUAAAUCCAUAAUCUAAUCUCAUAAUACCUAAAAAGUAACUACAGAAAUCAUAAUAAAACUUAACUUCAAAUUUUCCUCCAAUACCUCAUUUACCAAUACUACAUAUCUAGUACCUGUAAUAACAUAAUAUUUUUCAUAACCUAGAUAAAAUAACUUCAAUGCUAACAUUUCUUUUUGAAGAAAAAAAUAUUAUUUCUAUUGAUGGCAAACAAAGUAUAAAUAGAUCAAUAUCAUGCUUGCGAACACUUCAUUUUCAUGCAAUACUCAAGUAUUAUCAUCUAAAUAUCAUGAAAUAAUGCAUCAUACGAUUUGACUGAACAUGCUUUAUGCGUUUUUAUUGUAAUUUUCCAUUUGAAAAAAAAAACCCAUAAAGAACUUCUAUUUGAAAAAAAAUGCUUCUAUUAAAUUGAAAAUGGAUGAUUUUUUGAUCCAUUAGAAAUUACAGGUUAAUUUUUGAAUGAAGAGCUAUUUUUUUCACCACUCUCUGUAUUGCAUAUCCUCUAGUUAUAAAAUUUGAGUUGAUCUAACAGGUGGAUUGUGCUAAUAUAAAAUACAAGUUGACAUGUAAUCUGAUCAACUUAAAUAAAAUUAUUUUAAAAUUAGUUGAUUUUUUUAUCAGAAUAAUAUUGUUUUUAUCAUUGGUUUUUUUAUAUUAAUAUGAGUUAACUCUUUUUAUUUGUAAUCUAGAUCCUGUCAGAGGGAACCUUCUUAUUUGUAAUCUAGAUCUUGUCACGAGGGAACCUAUAUAUCAGGUUUUAAACCUGUGAUAUAUUCUUUACCUAACGGGACCUUAAAUAAUAAAAAACAAACAUGUUGGCAUAUGUUUUGUUUUUGAAGGCAGCCCAUAACUCUCAAAGGCUUCUUGUCAAGAGAGGAGUGGCCCAUUAAACUUCCCACGAAACCCCAUGGGAAGAAAGCUUUGGGCUUUUGCUUUGCUAUUCUCCUCUCCUCUCACCCACUCUUACAGUGCUUCCUUUCUCUCAAAAACGAUCCUCUCCGGCUGGAGGACGAUCGAAGACUAUUAAUCAUUGGUCUCAUUUCUACAUUCAAGGUUUCAUCUCACGGUACUCUCCUUUUUAACCCCAACAGACCCUGAGCUACCUUUGUAUUCUUUGAUGAAGCUUUUUAUCAAACACCUAGCAGUUAUUAUUAUUAUUAUUUUUUUUUCAUUUCCUUUAUGAAAGUUUGAAAUUUUAUUAUCAUAAUUAAUGGUCAAUAAUCCAAUCAGGGUUUCAAUAUUUCUGUUUAUUACAAGUAUAAAAAAGUGAAAAAUCUGAACUUUUUGAGUAAUAGAUGAACAGGCGAAGUGGCAUUGGCUUGCUUGGAUCAGUGGAGUUGUGUUUCUAGGUAGUUAGAGUUAUGACUGUCGAUUUUGAGAAGGAUUUUGCGUUCUUUUGGAUCCUUCUCUCGGCUUGGUCGCUGUGGUGAUUCUUCUAGUUUCACUAGUCAAUCAUUUCGAGCUUCUCAUGGUAAAGGAACUUGCUUUACUGGAAUUUUUCUGUGAUUUUUUUUUUAGAUUUUUAGCUCUUUGUUUGAAUUUUGUUUGCCUUUUCUGUAGCAGAUUUGUAUGGCAUUUUUCUGGUGAUUGUUUAUUUUCUGCAGAAUCUUCUAGCUUUAUCAAGGUUUGUUCUCAUUGUUUGUAAUUUUUUUCCUUCUUCGUCCACAUCAAAUUCUGAACCUGGAGGAUGUGGGUUAUUUAUGUGCGGCUUGUCAAACUCGUUUUGGAUUUGCAUCGACUGAUAAACUCAUGAACUGAUGGUGUUGCAUGUUUUAAUGUAGGGUAGGGGGUCUUCCCUUGCUUAUGGAAGGUUUCAACGUCCAACUGAACUUCUGAAUCCACUGAUGGAUUGUUUCCUUCUGAUUUAUUAUCUGCAAAGAAUGUGGUAACGCCACAAUGUGAGAUAGGUACGGACUAUGAAGAGAGUUUAAAUUUCACUUGUAUGGCAAUACAGUGAUAUGUCGUGCACUUGUUUUGCAUUUCUCCACAUUUAGUUCAAUGUAGUCCUCCCUGUGGUAUUAAAUGAUAAAAGGGUGAUUGGGAUUGUAACUUUUAUUUUUUUAACUUGCUGCUGAACAGAGACUCUCGAACCAACACCUUAAUAUGGUUCUGGUUUCAACUCUUUUAGUCUGGUUACACAAUAUUAUCAAAUCCUGGUCAUGAAGUUGGGCCAUUCACUUAUACAAUUAUCUAGCUAUUUUUCUGGAUUGAUCUUUUAGUUGGAUGUUUCCAGAUUAAAUGAGAAAAAAAAAACUAAGAAAGAAAAGGUAGUAGAAUAGUUUUGACCUCAGUUCUUAAACAGUUGCAUCUUCUUCAUAUUUUUAUUCAUGAUUACCACUUCUCCCCCAUCAAAUUUAUAAGGAAGAGGAAAAAGAAAAAAAAUCACAUACCGAAGGGGAUUCUAACUCUUUUGCAAUAUUUUUUUUGCCCUUCUGCCAAUUCACCUAUUUUUGCAUGUUAUGUGUCCUACAUGAUAUUGUUUAAUCUCUUCCAUGGAACAUGCAAUAUCAUGUGAAUACAAUCCAAUAAAAGUUCACUUUUCUUACUUGUUGACGCUGCAUUGUGAGUUUUGACUCUUGGGAGUGAUUUAAAUACAGUUUUAGUUAUGUUCUUUCCUUGAAUAUAUAAAAUCGUGAGAAUGAGAUUUAUAUUAUUGGGCUUAUUGAUUCACUGUAUAGGUCUGAAUUUUAAUAGCUCUGUAUAGCUCUGCAUUGUCAGUUUUAAUAGCUCUGAAUUUAAUUUUGUCUUCUUCAUCUUUUUUUUUUUUUUUAAAUAAUUACAAUCAGGGAUAUUAUAUUGACAUGAAGUUGUGAUACAGGACUGUUUCAAGACCUGGUAAUUCCAGCGACAAAUUUUCAUAACUAGGACAAGGGCUUAAUGGUUUUGGCUGGUGAUGUUUUUAAUGGCCCUAUCAGGAAUGAUAUUAUUCGCUGUGUUGUGAUGGCCGCUUGCAAAACAACAACAGGUAGUCUCAAACCACCAUGCUUAAAAUCUUCAAAGAAAUUAAUGGCUUAUGACAAAUGUAGAACUCUCUUCCUAAUCAUAUCAUUGAUAAAACCUGUUGGGUUUGUUUAUUAUGAAAAGCUGUCUGAUGACUUGCUAGUUUUUAUCUUGCCAUGUGUCAUGAACCGUGACAAGUAUUGUGUUCCUAAUUGGAUUAACUUUCAUGUUCUUAAAAAAAUCUGCUACCUGCAUGUUAGGCCUUCCUCUUUAUAAAUUGGAUGCCUCCGAUGCUGGUAUCAAUUGAGUUGUCAACAGGAAACAUAUUCAACUAAAACAAUCAGUGCGGUUAGAUGCUGGUAUCAAUUGAGUUGUCAACAGGAAACAUAUUCAACUAAAACAAUCAGUGAGGUUAGUGGUACUGGAAGAAAGCCAUAUAGACAAAAGCGCACUGGCCAAGCAAGGUAUGGAACGUUGCAUUGGCCCCAGGUAAAGAGCCUCUGAUGAUCUUUGUUUUACUUGAUUGUCAAUGCUUCUUUAACUUGAAGAUCAGUUAGGGGGGCCUAACAUUAAUGUUUGGAUCACAGUUUUGAGGUGGUGCUGUCAUGCAUGGUCCUAAACCACAAAGUCAUGCUAUUGAAUUAAACAGGGUGAGGCGUUUGGGUUUGAAGAUUGCUUUGUCAGCGCGCACAGCAGAAGGAAAGGCAUGUCUCUCUGUCUCUGCGUCUUUGAUUUUUGCACAUGCCCAUUUUUUUUUUCUUCAGCUUAUGCUGGGAAAAAUAUAAUUUUCACCCAUGAAUAUUGAUAUUCGUGCUCCAUAUGUGUCAUGUUCACUUGUGGUUGAGUAUCCUUGUUGCCCCUGUUCGAUGUGUGCUGCUACAUGCUUUUCCUGUUCAUAGCAUUCAUCUUAUACACCGCGUUCUUAGUUCCCACCUUUUUAUGCAAGUAUUCUCCAAUGUUUCAAAAGUUCUUCAAGUUCUAAAUUAAAAUAACUAUUGCAGAUGUGCUUGAACUUCUGCAUUUUUCUAUACAAUUGGGUUACAUAUUAUGGUGUUCACCUGUCUCUAUCGAAUGUCAGCUCUGAGCUAUCUCAGGUGAUCAUUUGUCAUUGCUUAAUCAAUAACUACGUCUUUUUUUUAGAUUUUCUGCCAAAUUAUUAAAGAUUGUGUCUUUGCAGUCAUGGUGAGGCCUUCGAUGGAGAUAAAAAGCUGGACCUCCCACAUGCACUCUAGUGUAUAAUACUUUUCUCUGGUUUCUAUCGAUGAGACUGGAUGAAAUUGAUCGUCCAUAAAAGUUCAUCGGAUGUAUAUGUAACAAAAGUGACUUGUGAUCGACCCUUUUUUUUGUUUGACAACGCAAUGAAAAUAGCUGCAUUUUUGUUCUUCUUCACGCAUUCAUUUGUGGGUGGAUAUCGUGAAGGCACCGAAGAAUAGCUAUUAGGACUAUUUGAAUCUACUAUAAUUAGUGAAAUCUGUGUAAGGUUUGCUGUGCGACGCAGCUGAUUAUGCCUCGUUGACCAUGAAAGUGUCAAAUUUGUGUACAAAUUAAUUUCCCAAGGGAUGUUCUAGCGUUGUGUUCGUUACUUCAUUUCUGUAACUACGAUCUUCUGAAAAAUUAAGAUUCCGUGCCAUUCGACGACUCCUGAUUACUAGCUUUUCCUGUUUAUUGUCAGCAGAUUCUCGUAUCUUGCAUGUGGGGAAUCAGUCACCAAACAAAGGACGGUGAGAACAUUCAUGGGUGGUGACUCGACGGACAGGUGAGAAUAUCAUAGAAAAGAGACAUUUCUCCUUAACAGUGAUGUCAAAUGUCUACAUAUACAAACACCGACAUUAAAAUUAUAAAUUUUAUGUUUCUUUCUUUCCCGUGUCUGUAUUUUUUGGUUUCGUAACACCGAAAGAACAGCCUAAUCUACUCAACGAGCCUCAGGAUAAGCCAUUCGAUGAUUGAUAUUCCUCAUAUAUGCAUUGCAAGAUGAAAUUUGGCAUUGAUGUCGUGAAAUUUGUUGAGGUUGAAUUGAUACUCAAUGCCACAUGGAAUCCCACUCAGGAUUAUGCGUGUUGCUGAAGCUACAAGCUUGGCAACAUAAUGACCGUUGUCAGGUCAAGAACACAAGGCUAGAGAGUUGAAAAGGAACGGUUGGUAGGUCACCAUCGCAUCGUAAAUUGUGGGCAUUUGAUUUGGACACUUCAUACAUGUUGAGAAUACGCAAGGAUCAAUGUGCCUACAAUGGCCUCAGUUCACUCUUAUGGGUCGCUUCUAAUGCCAGGACAAGAUUCCCUUGCAACUUUUGAAAAUUCUAUCAUCGAGUCAAGAUGGGUCUGACUAUUCCGUGACAAAAUUGUUGAUUAGAGACUAGGUUUGAUGGAGUCUUUUGAAUAGUUUUGAUUUCAAAAUGUCACAAUUAUAAAAAAAAUAAUAGUAUUUCAAUCAAUUUAUUUUUAUAAAAAUAUUCCAACUUUAUUAUUGAACAUAUAAUUAUACUAAGUGAUGAAAUUUUAAUUUAAAUUGUAUCCAAGUGGUUUUAAAUUGAAUUUAUAUGAUUGUGUUUUUAUCUUAGAAUAAUUAAGUAUGCAAGUCAGUGUUAUUAAUCUUGGUUCAACUUAAUUUUUAAAUUAAAUUAGAUGAAAGUUAAUUGGAUCAAACUUGAUUGAUUUAGUUAAAUUUGAGUAAUAUGAUAUAAUUUUGAGAUGAUUUCAAAAUAAAAUAACAUUAUUAAACUUGGUCGAGCUUGAAUUUUAAAUUAAAUUAGAUAGAAAUUGAUUUGAUUAAGUUUGAUUUAUUUUUAAAAUAAAAUAUUAAAAUAUCAUGAUUUUAAAUUGAUUUAAGGUAAUUCAAAUUAACUUAUCUAAUGUUUUGCAGUGCUGGCUAAAAUGUUUUUUUGUCUAAAUUUUGAUUUUUUUAGUGUUUUUUGAUUCAUUUUAAUGUAUUAAUAUAAAAAAUAAUUUUUGGAUUAACUCUAGCUUAAUCAAAUCUUGGAUGUGAACUAAUUGAUCACAAUCACGAGCUAUGGUAAAAGGGAUCAGAUUUGCAAUUCUUUGCAGCGAAUAACAAUAGGAAACGACUAACCCAACCGAAUUGAAUGGAAGCUCCAGGAGCGUUUGAAGCAUUUUGCAUUCCGCUAAUGAAAGGUAAUUGAGUGUACCAAUGUCCUUAAUGCUUGGUGGAAGAAAACAAAUUGGAGUUCUACUAAAAUUUUGUGUCGUCAAAGAGUAUGGCAAUGUAAACGAGGUAAAUCUGGAAUUUUUCAUUUCUGAAAACCUGGAGGGAAAGAAUAGCUUCAAUUGAAGAGAUGUAAUGUAAGAUGUGCUUGCAACAAUUCUAUCACUUUGAUGCAACCUGUGUCGCUCUAAAUCCAUAUUCAAGCUCUCAAGUUUUGAGCAACCACACAAAACAAGCUCUUCAAGUGAAUUCAAUCUACUCAUUUCUUUUGGAAGUUCCACAAGACUUUUACAAUUCUUCAUAUUUAAAUCACGAGAAAAUGUAAAUCACCAAUAGGCUUCCAUGUGAUGCCAUAUUCUUUGACAUUUGGGUGAUUCUUGACGAGCAAUUUCCCUUCUCAUAUCUCUUAUGAGUUGAAGCAUCCAUAACUUUUUAUCAUUUUUUAUUUUGAUAAUUUCUACUAGACAUUUAUUAAUCAGAUUGUCAAUUCUAAAUAUUGCACCUAUACCGAGUCCAUUUAGUAGCCUAACUGCAUAAUUGUAAUCCAUUCUAUUAAAGAAACAAGCAAUAUCAAGAAAUAAGCUCUUCUAAUUAUCAUCAUCAAGAGAGUAGUAACUUGUUGCAAGAACCUUUUGAACUUGAAAAUUCGGAAUCAAUAACACGUAGGGCCAUUUGAUUUGAUUUGAUUCAUUCUGAUGUAUGGGGACCUUUUCCUGUUGCCAUAAAAGGAGGGUCUCGAUAUUAUGUCUCUUUUAUUGAUGAUCAUACUCGUUAUUGUUGGGUUUAUUUAAUGAAACAUCGUUCUGAAUUCUUUGAGAUAUAUGCAGCUUUUCGAGCUCUUAUCAAAACUCAAUAUUCUACUGUGAUCAAAUGCUUUAGGUGUGAUUUAGGUGGGGAAUACACUUCUAAUAAAUUUUGCCAAUUGCUUGCCCUAGAUGGAACCAUCCACCAAACUUCAUGUACAGAUACUCCUGAGCAAAAUGGUGUUGCUGAAAGAAAACAUAGGCAUAUUGUCGAAACUGCUCGUUCUCUCUUGUUGUCUGCUUUUGUUCCUAGUGAGUUUUGGGGAGAAGCUGUUCUUACUGCUGUAAGCUUGAUUAAUACAAUUUCAUCUUCUCAUAGUUCGGGUCUAUCUCCUUUUGAAAAGUUAUAUGGGUAUGUCCCUGAUUAUUCCUCAUUUAGAGUCUUUGGUUGUACUUGUUUCGUUCUUCGUCCUCAUGUAGAACGAAGUAAGCUAUCCUCUCGAUCCGCUAUUUGUGUCUUUUUGGGCUAUGGUGAAGGUAAAAAGGGUUAUCGUUGUUUUGAUCCAAUAACUCAGAAACUUUAUGUGUCUCGUCAUGUUGUCUUCCUUGAGCAUAUACCUUUCUUUUCUAUUCCAUCCACUACUCAUAACCUGACUAAAUCUGAUCUUAUUAGUAUAGAUCCAUUUUCUGAGGAUUCUGGUAAUGAUAGCUCUCCCCAUGUUCGAUCAAUUUGUACUCAUAACUCUGCAGGUACUGGUACUUUACUCUCUGGCACACCUGAAGCUCCAUUCUCAUCUACAGCCCCUCAAGCUUCAUCUGAGAUUGUGGAUCCACCUCCACGUCAGUCCAUCCGUAUUCGUAAGUCCACAAAACUACCAGAUUUUGCUUAUUCUUGUUAUUCUUCAUCAUUUACUUCCUUUUUAGCCUCUAUUCAUUGUCUUGUUGAGCCCUCUUCCUAUAAAGAGGCAAUUCUUGAUCCGCUUUGGCAGCAAGCUAUGGAUGAGGAACUUUCUGCAUUGCAUAAGACAGAUACUUGGGAUCUGGUUCCUCUACCUCCUGGUAAGAGUGUUGUUGGUUGUCGUUGGGUGUAUAAGAUCAAGACUAAUUCUGAUGGGUCUAUUGAGCGAUAUAAAGCUAGGUUGGUUGCCAAAGGAUACUCUCAACAGUAUGGUAUGGACUAUGAGGAGACAUUUGCUCCGGUUGCAAAAAUGACUACUAUUCGUACUCUUAUUGCCGUAGCUUCGAUUCGUCAAUGGCAUAUUUCUCAACUUGAUGUUAAAAAUGCCUUCUUGAAUGGAGAUCUUCAAGAAGAAGUUUAUAUGGCACCCCCUCCUGGUAUUUCACAUGACUCUGGAUAUGUUUGUAAGCUUAAGAAAGCAUUAUAUGGUCUCAAACAAGCACCCCGUGCUUGGUUUGAGAAAUUCUCUAUUGUGAUCUCGUCACUUGGCUUUGUUUCUAGCAGUCAUGAUUCUGCUCUUUUUAUUAAGUGCACUGAUGCAGGUCGUAUCAUUCUGUCUUUAUAUGUUGAUGACAUGAUUAUUACUGGUGAUGACAUUGAUGGUAUUUCAGUUUUGAAGACAGAGUUGGCUAGACGAUUUGAGAUGAAGGAUUUGGGUUAUCUUCGAUAUUUCCUGGGUAUUGAGGUAGCAUACUCACCUAGAGGUUACCUUCUUUCUCAGUCGAAAUAUGUUGCAGAUAUUCUUGAGCGGGCUAGACUUACUGAUAACAAGACUGUGGAUACUCCUAUUGAGGUUAACGCAAGGUACUCUUCUUCUGAUGGUUUACCUUUGAUAGAUCCUACUUUAUACCGCACUAUUGUUGGGAGUUUGGUAUAUCUCACCAUUACUCGUCCAGAUAUUGCAUAUGCUGUUCAUGUUGUUAGUCAGUUUGUUGCUUCUCCUACUACUGUUCAUUGGGCAGCUGUUCUUCGUAUUUUGCGAUAUCUUCGGGGUACAGUUUUUCAAAGUCUUUUACUUUCAUCCACCUCUUCCUUGGAGUUGCGUGCAUACUCUGAUGCUGAUCAUGGUAGUGAUCCCACAGAUCGCAAGUCUGUUACCGGGUUUUGUAUCUUUUUAGGUGAUUCUCUUAUUUCUUGGAAGAGCAAGAAACAAUCUAUUGUUUCUCAAUCAUCCACCGAAGCAGAAUAUCGUGCCAUGGCAUCUACUACCAAAGAGAUUAUUUGGUUACGUUAGUUAUACUUGCUGAUAUGAGAGUUUCCUUUUCCCAUCCUACUCCUAUGUUUUUGUGACAACCAGAGUUCUAUUAGAUUGCUCAAUCGGUUUUUCAUUGAGCGGACUAAGACAUUGAAAUCGAUUGUCAUCUUACUCGUCAUCAUCUCAAGCAUGGAACCAUUAUUUGCUUUUGUUCUUCUUCAUUGCAGAUUGCGAUUUCUUUACCAAGGCGCAUUCCAUAUCUCGUUUUCGUUUUCUAGUUGGCAAACUCUCGAUGCUUGUAGCUGCCGCAUCGUGAGUUUGACGGGAGAUGUUAAAUAAUAUUUAUGUUGUCUUAUUUAUUAAGGGUAGAAUAAUACUUUCAGUUUAACCUAUAUAUACUUUAUUUGUAAUUAGGUUAAAACUAUGCAUUCAUAAUAUACAGUUUAUUCAGAAUUCUAGCUUUCUUUUUGUGUUUGAUCUCAAUUAGUUUAACACCCAGAAGCCAUUUCGAGACUAGCAAAGAAAAAAAGUUGCAGGAUGAAUGUCGAUAAUUCAAGAUCGAUAGCACAACAAUUAGCUGAUGUAUUUAUAUAAAAUAAUUUAUUAAUAUUUUAUUUUUUAAAAAUUUAUUAAAAUAAUAAAGAAUAAAUUUUACAAAUUAAAAAGUUGAAUGAAAAUCAAAUUUAAAAAAAUAUAAUUUCAUAAAUUAUCUCAAAUAAAAUAAAUAAUGAUCAAAAUAAUAGAGAUCAAAUCUAAAAAAUAAAAAAAAAUAAAAAUAAAAAAAUUAAAAUAAUAAUAAUAAAUAUUUCAUAAAUUAUUUCAAAUAAAAUAAGUAAUAAUAAAAAAUAAUUUUUUAUAAUUUGAUAAAUAAAAAAUUUCAAUAAAAAAAUAAUAAGAAAAAAGCUAAUAAUUAUUAUAAAAAUGAGGACCAAAAUUAAUAUAAAAAUAAAAUUUUAAAAAAUAAAAUUGAAAAAUAAAUAUUUAAAAUAAAAUAUAUAUAGCAAUUAAAAGUUUGAAUAUCAAAUUUGAUAUAAUUAAUAAAUAAUAUAAUAUUUUUAAAUUUUUUAUAAUUUUUAAAAAAUUCUUUUCAUUUAAAUUUUUCAGGAAAAUAUACCCUAACUUGUUUGCUCAAACUUUUAAGACAACCCUGGAGUCUAUGUGGCAUAAUAUUAUAAAUAAAGUAUUUUAUUAUAUAGGAAUGCGAGGUAUAGACACCCGCAUCAUCCAACUCAUCCACUCUCGCUGUGCGCCUGCUCUGGCCGUAUCUCUAUCCUCUCGCAUCCAAAACUAGCAUCAACACCACGCACCAAUAAGAAAAAGGCACGUGGAGGAUCAUGACUCUGAAUCAGCUACUGGGUCGGCUACCGAGCGGUGUUCCGUUUUGAGCCAUUGAGUAUUGCUGUGGAGUGCUGAUGGCAAGAGGUUUAUUGAGUGGGAGUUCUAUAAGAAUGGAGGUUCGAUGGUGUGAUAAUAUAAUCAAAUUAAUUUUUAAUUAAAAUAAAAUAUAUUCAAAUUAUAGAAUCCUCUCAAUCAUAUUUUCAAGACAUGUUCACUUUUUUUUUUUUUUUUUUAUUACAAGUGAACUUGUCUGAAAAUGAUAUAUGUAGAAGCCAAAAAAAAUUACCAAUCAAAUUUUACCAUGUAUUAUUUUUUAUUUUAUUUUUAUAUAAAAAGAUGAAAUAAAACAAAUAAAAUAACAUAAAAAAUGAAUCAUUACAUAUAUUUUGGCCCAAUAGAAGAUUGACACAUAAAAUAAUAUAUUUAACAUAUCUUAUUAUAAAUUCAAGAUUUUAUAAAUAAAAAUCAAUUAAUAAAAUAAUAUUAUAUUACAGGGAAAAAAGAAAGAAAGUGAAAGUCCUGACAAAUAUUUAUAAAUAAAAAGAUCUCAUGCUUUCCAUGAUAAAGAAAGGAGGAAGACACAAAACUAUUUUCAUGUUAAGCUUUUCGAGAGAAAAUAGCAAACCUCUACUUUGGGUAUCUUGCAAGUUCCAGACCUCUAUUUGCAAAAGACCACCAAUAGCCAUUGCCAUCAUCGCCGUUAGCAUGUAAAGCACAAUAAUAAUUUCUAAAAAUACGAGAAGCUAUUUUCAUGUUAAGCUUUUCAGGAAAAAAAAACCAUUUCAAAAGCUAUCCAGCUUUUUUAAUGUUACGGUUGAAAUCUAAAAAAAGCAAACCUCUACUUUGGGUAUAGACCUCUCUUAGCAAAAUACCACCAAUCGAUAUUGCCAUCAUCGACGUUAGCAUGUAAACCACAAUAAUAAUUUCUAAAAAUACGAGAAGCUAUUUCUACUUUGGCAGCGUGUGCAUCAUCGCUACUGUUGUGGGCAUUGAUAACUUCAUCCUUUGAUUGGAUAAAAUCAUCAUCCUUUCCUUCCUCUUCAUGCAACCAUCGUAUACCAAUCCUCCUUACUUGAAUAGUUGGACUAUGUGGACGCACUGAAAUACUCACGUCAUCACCAUUAUCAAAUGUAGGAUCGUUGACCAUUAAUUUGAAGUGGAAUAGCGAUUGGUAUUCAGUGCUUGACGACGCCAAGAAGAAGGCUUGACGACGCCAGGAUCGACCACUGGUAUUGUUUCUGAUUUCAAGAUCAACGUCACUAUGGCGGUACCCUGACGUCACGCUAUACCUUGCAAACAGAUUAAAGCCACAUAUCCGAGGCGCAGGAGGUAAGGAUAUUUUAAAUGAAAAGUUAUCUACAAACUCAUUCUGAAUUACCCAUUUAUCCUCUUCUUCCUCCUCAUAAAACCCCCUAAACUCAUCAAAAUCAAAUACAUAUACGUAGAGUUCGCCAUGAUCAAAUCUUAUCUGCACCACCAAAACAAUGUCUAUAAAAUGAGCAAAAGAAAAGUAUUCAAAUGUAGAUUUCAAAGACAAUAAAAUGGGCCAGGGAGGACCUGAAAUCUGGAUGGCUGUAUUUGAGCAUUAACAACCGUUUCUAUUAUUCUGAACAUGUGAGAGUCAAACUUUUGGAUUAAUUCUUGCUUUAUCCCAUCUUGGAACUCGACUAAGUGAUCACAACCAUAUGCUCCAAUCCAACGGUGUCGAUUUGCAAGGCUUUGCAGUGAAUAGCAAUAGGACACAUCUAACAAAUCCAAAUGGGAUGGAAGCUCUGGGAGUGCCUCGAGCAUUUUGCAAUUUCCUAAAUAUAGGUCAUGGAGCAUACCAAGAUCCUUGAUGCUUUCAGGAAGAAAACGAAUUGAAGUUCCACUUAAAUCAAGUGUCGUCAAGGAGCAUGGCAGUGCAAACAAGGUAAAUCUCAACAUUUUCCUCGCUGAAAACCUAGAGGGAAAGAAUAGCUUCAAUGGAAGAGAUGUAAUGUACGAUGCACUUGCAACAAUUCCAUCACUUUGAAGCAAGCUGCGCCCCUGAUGAUACUCUAACUCCAUAUUCAAGAUGUCAAGAUUUGAGCAACCAUUAAAACCAGCUCUUGAAGUGAAUUCAAUCUACUCAUUUCUUCUGGAAGCUCCAUAAGACUUGAACAAUUUUUAGAUUUAAGAUCAACAGUCUUUGUAAAUCACCAAUAGAAUUGUGAAUUUGAACCAAACGAAUGCAGUCUUCAAGUAUUAGCUUUUCAAGGGCUAGGAGACCCGAGAAGUCAGGGGUUCUAAUGAGAUCACGAGAGUGACGGAGAUCAAGAACUUUCAAUUUUGGAAGAAACUGUGACAAUACAUGAAUUUAGUUGUUAUCAAUUGAAAACAGAGAGAUAGCUAUAUAAACUGUGACAAUACAUGAAUUUAGUUUAUACAUACCAGUUUGCCUUUCCAAGCAUCAACUAGACAACUUCUGGAUAGAUCAAGAACCACAAGCUUCUCCAAGCAUACGUGAUUUGGUAUGGAUCUCCAAGACAAUCCAUGCCAACAUAACCAUAUCAAAUUCUUAGGAAAGUGCUCCAAACUUCCAUGAAAAUUAGUGUAGUUUAGUUGGAGAAAUUUUACAUCUGUCAUCUUUCUAAAAGCAUCAGCAGGAAACAAAUUUUUUUGUAAUUUUCCCCUAUCAGAAAAAUCAGAAAGCCAUUGUUGAAAGAAGUUAAGCCUGCAGCGCUCUCGGCUUACCAUUGAAUCAGUACAGACAACUUUUGCAUAAUUAUCUUUCAUUAAUGCAUGCAUAUCAAUAGUAAGGCCACGCAAUUUUUCAGCAUCCUGCAUAAUAAUAUUAAAAGUACAUGAGAAAGGAAAGUAAAUGAAAGAAUAUGUCAAGGCACCACAAACCAUUUAAGUAGACAAAUAAAAAAAUUUGAGCUACUUACAGUAGUUCCUUUCAAAACGGUAUAAGCAUCCUCGUGACGCCAUAUUCUUUGACAUUUAGGGGAUUCUUGACGAGCAAUUUCCCUUCCCAUAUCUCUUACUAGUUUAUGCAUCCACAACCUUUUAUCAUUGUUGAUUUCAACAAGACAUCUAUCGAUGAGAUUGUCAAUCCCAAAUCUUGCACCUUUAUCGAGCCCAUCCAGUAUCCUGACUGCAUCAUCCACAUCCAUUCCAUUGAAAAAACAUGCGAUAUCAAGGAAUAAGUUCUUCAGACAAUCACCAUCAAGAAAGUCAUAACUUAUUCGAAGAACCUUUUGAACUUCAAAAUUAGAAAUCACUUCCAAUUGUUGUAAUGCGCUUUCCCAUAUUUCUCUUCCUUUUCCGGACAAUGAGGAGCCAGUAACUCGAAGAGCUAAUGGAAGUCCAUUACAAUGAUGUACUAUUCUCCGAGAGUCUUCUACAAAAUCUUUAACUGGGUAAGCUCUUCCAAAGGCAUUCCAACUGAAAAGCUCAAGCGAUUUUUUGUUAUCUAAAGGUUUGACUUGGAGUUUGACACACUCGGUAUCAUUAGCCGGAAACAGACCCUUAUUUCUGGUUGUUACAAUGAUUUUACUUCCUUUACAAAGCCAAUUUUGCAUGCCAAUGAUUUUAUUGAAUUGGUCCCCUUUGUCCACAUCAUCUAAAACAAUAAGAGUUCUUCUGCAACAUAAGGCAUUCUUAAUCCUCAGAAUUCCUUCAUCUUCAUCAUUUAUCUUAUCAACAGUCUUUUUUAGGAUGUCGGAAAGAAGUUGCCUCUGUAGGCAAACUAUAUCCUUUGAUCUAAAAUUUGACAGGAAGCUCUUUCCUUCAAAUUUAUAAAAGUUCUGGUUAUAAACACUCUUAGCUAUGAGUGUCUUUCCAACUCCACCAAUUCCAUAGAGUAAAGCAAUGGCAGCACCAUGGGAUCCAUCUUGCAACCAUGAGUUUAUAUAUUGUACCAGAGCAUCUCUUCCAAUGAAAUGAAGGGGGGCAUGAAAUAUUUUUGGAUCCAAAUUCUUUGAGACAUUCUCCACAAUAGAUUGGACAAACUGUGCCUCAUACCUACAUCAAAACGUAAAGUACAAUGUACGAUAAUUGCUAGUCUCUCUAUAAAGGAUAAAAAUAGACAACAUUUAGCUAUGAAAUUAAAGCAAGUUGCAUGUCAAUGAUUAAUAGUUAAAUUUUUAGGUGCGUUAUCAACACCUACUAAAAUCAAAUCAUGUUUGGGAAAAAAAAAACAAAAAAAAGAAGAAGAAAUUAUAAGUAUUUUAUUUAUUUUUUCUUUUAUGUUUUCUUAUCAAUCUUCCUUUAAAUACUUAACAGAAAGAAAUUAAGAAUUCACGACCAGCAUUCUAGUCUUAUGCUAUGUGUAGUUUCAUCAAUAGAUACAACUUACCCAUCUCCUAAAACCAUUCCAGCUAAAUCUGCAACUUCCUUCAAAGCAAUCCUCCACCCGUUCACCCGCUCCAUCUCCUCCUUGAAGCGCUUUUCUUGCUCCACAAAUGCUGCAACGAAGCUCCCUGUUUGAUUUCUGACUUCAGAUGGAAGCACAUCAUAGAAAACUGGGAAAACUAUGGAGCUGGUAGUUCUCCUACGUUCCAUGAUCAUUACGAGUUCAUCGAGGCACCAUCUCGACGAAGCAUAGUUUUUGGAGAACACGAUUAUUGAUAUUUUUGAUUCUUGUAUUGCCUUCUGGAGCUCGAAAUCUAUAUUCUCUCCUCUCCGAAUUUCAUCAUCAUCUCUAAAUGUGUGAAUCCCUGCAUCAACCAGGGCCUUGUAGAGGUGAUCGGUAAAGUUCUUGCGGGUGUCUUCACCUCUAAAACUCAAGAACACUUGAUAUUUACAAUUAGAAAACCGAGAAGAGUAGGAUUCUUGAUAUUUCCCAGCAGCCAUUUCGAGUCUAGCAAAGAUAAGACUUUACAAAGAUCUGGACACACAAAAAAAAAAAGAAUUGCAGGAUUAAAGUCGAUAGUUCAAGAUCGACAGCACACCAAUAAGCUGAAGUGUUCAUAUAUUAUUAUCUUACUUUUUCUGUAAGACAAUUUUCAAGUUAUUUCCCAGCAAUCAACUCCUCCAUGCCCUUUCAGGAAAAUACUUGCAGAUAUGAUAAAUCUCUAUGCUGAACCAACAAAAUCGGUUGAUGAGAUCAUCAAUAAUUAGUUUCUAAUAGUGAAUUAAUCGAAGUGAAUCUCUGUUACAGCAGAGUUACAUUUCACAAUAUAACAUAAUACUUAAAGAGAUGAGAGAGAGAGAGAGAGAGAGAGUACCUGCAAUCUUCACUUUCCCUUCGCUGAUGUUCUCUUAUCAGUCCAUCAAUUUUCUGCUUUUAAGUCAACCUCACAAGUUUCUGGGGUCUGAGUCAUUUCCGCGUUAGGACCAUUUUCUUUUUUUAUUCUUUUUUUUUUAUUUGCUCAAAUCAUUUAUCACGCGUGGAGGGGAAGUUGCUUGUUACAUCUUUGUGUAGAUUUCUUCCCCAUGACUUUCCUGACCUUCUUGUUCUUUAGGAUUUUUCUUCCCACAUAUAUUAAGAGCACCCAUGGGUCGGGCCAAUCUUACAUUAAUUAACUAUAUAUAAUUAAUGUGUAUAAUUUCUCUUACAGUGCUUUGUCUUACUUCCAGCGCAAUAUUCCUUUUUCUUUCUUUCUUUUGUGAAAUCCAACACAUCAAAUUAUGUUAAAUUAAAUUUUGAACCUGGCACUUAAAGUAGCACGUAUCAAACAUUAAGAUCAAAAUCAAGAUAAAGUUAAAGUAAAUUUGAUAUAUAUAUAUUUUUUGUAUAAAGUAAAUCUGAUAAAGUUACCUGCAAAUCCUCACUUUCCCUUCGCUGAUGUUCUCUUAAGUCCAUCAAUUUCCGCGUUAGGACCUUUUUUUUGUCUUUAAUUUGCUCAGAAUUGAGAGAAAAAGGGUGGAUUGUAAAUUUAAGACAAGUCAUCCCCACAAGUCCGCUCUCUCUAUGGUAUGGAAUGUUUCCGCGUGAGGACUUUUUUGGAUUAACUCUAGCUUAAUCAAAUCUUGGAUGUGAACUAAUUGAUCACAAUCACGAGCUAUGGUAAAAGGGAUCAGAUUUGCAAUUCUUUGCAGCGAAUUACAAUAGGACACGUCUAACCCAACCAAAUUGAAUGGAAGCUCCAGGAGCGUUUGAAGCAUUUUGCAUUCCGCUAAUGAAAGGUAAUUUAGUGUACCAAUGUAAGAAAGGUAAGAAAAAAGUAAGACUCUUUCCUUGUAAUUCAUGAAAAAAGUAAGAAAGGUAGGACCAGAAAAUACAUUUGAAGGACUAGCUUCCCUCUUUUUCAAGAAAAUGGGUGAAGUUUAAAUAAUUGUAUAUUUCCAUAUGUAAGUGGUAACGGAGCCAAGGUUUUUCUGUUGCAGCAGCAGUAUGGAUUGGAUGCUGCUUUACUGUCUUUCAACACACAAUUACUACGAAAAUAUCAUGCUAGUUGCUGCAGUAACUUUUCAUGGGAUAUUUUAAUGCGUUUUGAGCUGCUAACUCAUUUAUGUUGUCAUCAGGUUGUGGUGAUGGCAAUGAUAGGAAUGUGUCAUCUGAAGAAGAGGUUGAUGUGAAUAACAACUUCAUAGAUCCUCAAGCUGAAGAUCAAGAACUGAAGGGUCAGCUACUUCGCAGGUACAGUGGAUAUUUAAGGAGUCUCAAGCAGGAGUUCAUGAAAAAGAGAAAGAAAGGGAAGUUACCGAAAGAAGCCAGGCAACAGCUGCUGGAUUGGUGGAGCAGGCAUUACAAAUGGCCAUAUCCAUCGGUAUGUAUUGUUUUUAUCAUCUAACCUCGUCAAUGCCAUACUUUGUUGCGCCGGGUGGAAUUUUAUGUCCCUCUUCAUGGUCACAACACCGUAAAAGCUGAUUUUUCUCCUCUCCUUUCUCUCAUCAUUGGCUUCUGUUUCAUGCGACAAGUGGUUCAUGAAGACUUUUACUGGAUCUGAAUUAACCUUUGUUUGCUUCCCCUCGGUUAAUUACCUCUUGGUUUAGAUUUCCUUGUUUUUUCAAAGAUGUUUUUGGUGGCUGCGGAUGAUUCUCAAACCUUUUCUCGCAUAUUUGUUUGUGCCGGGUGGAAUUUUAUUUAAAGUGCAAACUACAAGUAAUUCAACUCUUGUAAGUAGGUAGUUAAAUAGUUCAUGACUUUGUGUCGGAGAUUACAUUAUGUUUGACAAUUGCUUAUGUAUAUUUUUUUUCAUAGAUUUUUUAGCUAUUUUAUGCGUCAACAGGAGUCGCAGAAGCUGGCCCUUGUUGAAUCCACUGGUCUGGAUCAGAAGCAAAUAAACAACUGGUUCAUUAACCAAAGGAAACUAUCGGAAGACAUGCAGUCAAAUAAACAACUGGUUGCAUGAAUCAUAUCCCGCUUAAGCCUGUUCCGGGGCCAUGGAUGUCAAAUUGAAGCUUACGAGUUUCUACGUUUAUCAUCGGUGCAUGGCUCCAUUUCCCGUUUACACUGGAGUCUCUUUUGGCUGAAAUGAACUCUUGCUCAUGCGAUAGUUCAUGUUCUAUUUAUGAAGUUUCCAUGUCAAGUCUUUGUCGUCCAUAACGAGUUUCUAGUUAUGUGUCUGCUUUUGCAUGUUCUUGUGGAAGUCUUAAAACUUCGUAUAGGUGAAUUCGAUAACAGGCUCGUAUUUACUUUAGACAAAAUUUUGGGAUCUAGUCUGGAAAAAGGGGCCAUAUCUGGUGACUUGGUAGGGGUCCCGACCAGGCUUUGAAGGGUCGACUUGCAGGGCUAGAUCUAGUCUAAUGCCUAUAUCUGUCACAAUGUAUAUAGGGGCAAGAGAAUUUACCAUGCUUGACACAUAAAAUAAUAUAUUUGGAUGGAUUGGAUGCUGCUUUACUGUCUUUCAACACGCAAUUACUACGAAAAUAUCAUGCUAGUUGCUGCAGUAACUUUUCAUGGGAUGUUUUAAUGCGUUUUGAGCUGCUAACUCAUUUAUGUUGUCAUCAGGUUGUGGUGAUGGCAAUGAUAGUAAUGUGUCAUCUGAAGAAGAGGUUGAUGUGAAUAACAACUUCAUAGAUCCUCAAGCUGAAGAUCAAGAACUGAAGGGUCAGCUACUUCGCAGGUACAGUGGAUAUUUAGGCAGUCUCAAGCAGGAGUUCAUGAAAAAGAGAAAGAAAGGGAAGUUACCGAAAGAAGCCAGGCAACAACUGCUGGAUUGGUGGAGCAGGCAUUACAAAUGGCCAUAUCCAUCGGUAUGUAUGGUUUUUAUCAUCUAACCUCGUCAAUGCCAUACUUUGUUGCGAAUUAGAAGCCGGGGAAGCAGUUAUGUCCCUCUUUGAUAAACCAUCACCGGAAGAGACAGUUACGUAGCCAAGGAGUUCGUUACAAUCAGUUUCAUAUAACAGAAAGUCAGUUAUCAAAGUCUGUUAAGUUAGUUAUGCCAACUGUUCUGGCAGUUAUUCUUCUUCUGUUAUUUACGUUUUUCUUGUAACAAACUCUACAACAAGAGUUGUAUAUAUAUGUGUGUUCAAUCUCUGAAUAAUAGUGUAUUGAAACAGAAUAAUAGUGUAUUGAAACAAAGAUUAAUAUUCUUCUCAAAAUCUUUCUUGGUAUUUGAAGCUCUCCUUAUUCUUUUUCUGCCAUGGCUUCUGCAAUUCAUCAAUCUUCAUCUACCUCUGGUCCGGUUGGCUCUGGACAAAGCACUACACUGGCACCCAAUUCCACUCACCAAAUGCUCAACCAUACACUGCCUGUGAAGCUUGAUCGAUCAAACUACGUCCUAUGGAGAUCACAGAUUGAUAAUGUCAUCUUUGCCAAUGGUUUUGAGGAUUUCAUCGAUGGCACUGCCUUCUGUCCAGAGAAAGAGUUAAGCCCAGGAUUGCUUAAUCCAUCUUUUGUUGCUUGGAGAAGACAAGAUCGAACAAUUCUCAGUUGGAUAUAUUCAUCACUUACACCAACUAUCAUGGCACAAAUCAUUGGGUACAAUACAUCUCAUGCUGCCUGGACUGCUUUGGAGAAAACUUUUUCAUCUUCUUCAAAGGCCAGAAUUAUGCAACUACGGCUUGAGCUACAAUCCACGAAGAAAGGAUCUUCGUCCAUGAUAGAUUACAUCAUGAAGGUUAAAGGAGCUGCAGAUAAUCUAGCAGCCAUUGGAGAACCUGUUCAAGAACAAGAUCAGGUAAUGAAUCUUCUUGCAGGUCUUGGUUCUGACUACAAUGCAGUAGUCACUGCCAUCAACAUUAGAGAUGACAAGAUCUCUAUUGAAACAUUCAUAGUAUGCUACUAGCAUUUGAGCAUCGUCUUGAGCAACAAAGUUCACUUGAUCAUGCUUCUUCUAUGACUGCCUGUUAUGCCUCCUCCUCUAACAACAGAGGUGGUGGACGAAAAUUCUUUGGUAACCGAGGAUACAGUCAGAACUCCAACACCAACAACUACACCAACAGAGGACGUAGUCGUGGAGGCAGGUAUGGUUAUACUGGGAAACAAAUUUAACCAACUCUGAUAAGCCACAGUGUCAGUUGUGUGGCAAGUUUGGUCAUACUGUUCAUGUUUGUUAUCAUCGUUUUGAUAUCUCGUAUCAAAACUCACAAAACAGUGGUACUCCUCCUGUGAAUACUGGAAGUCAAAAUAAUAUACAUGUUAUGGUUGCAUCCUCACAUAAUCCUACUGAUGAUGACUAGUAUCUCGACUCCGGAGCAAGUCACCAUCUGACUCAGAAUGAAGGAACUCUCACCAAUUCUACUCCUUACACAGGCAAAGACAGAGUCACAGUUGGUAAUGGUAAGCAUCUAACCAUCUCCAACACUGGUUCCCACCGGCUAGUCUCUCAUUCUCAUUCUUUUCAACUCAGAAAAGUGUUUCAUGUUCCAUUUAUCUCAGCCAACCUGAUAAGUGUUGCUAAGUUUUGCUCAGACAAUAAUGCCUUAAUUGAGUUUCGGGCUAAUAUUUUUACUGUGAAGGACCUGCAUUCGAAGAAGGUGCUAGCACAAGGCAAGCUUGAGAAUGGACUCUACAGAUUUCCAGUACUGCAUAGCAACAAGAAAAUGGCAUAUGUUGGCACUCGUAAUCUUUCCACCAUUCAUCCCCAUAGACUCAAUCUUGUUCAUAAUAAAAUGGAACUUUGGCAUCACAGGCUAGGCCACGCUGCUGCAGACAUUGUAACUCAAGUAAUGCAAAGCUGUAAUGUUUCUUGUGAAAGGAAUAAAACUACUAUCUGUUCUUCUAUUUGUCCUUCUUGUCAAAUGGCCAAAAGUCACAGGUUACCUACCUCUCUUUCACUCUCUCGUGCUUCCAAACCUUUGGAACUAAUUCACACUGAUAUUUGGGGUCCUGCCAUGCUCAAGUCUACAUCCGGGGAAAGAUAUUUCAUACUUUUUCUUAAUGAUGAUAUACAUGGCUCUACCCUCUGCAAACCAAGGAUCAAGCUCUGCAAAUUUUCAAACAGUUCAAACUUCUUGUAGAAAAUCAGUUUGAUGCAACUAUCAAAUGCCUCCAAUCUGACAAUGGAGGUGAGUAUCGAACGUUUGUGACUUUUCUUCAACAGUCUGGCAUCUUGCACCGAUUCUCUUGUCCUUACACUUCAACUUAGAAUGGGAGAGUAGAAAGGAAGCACCGACAUGUUGUGGAAACUGGGUUGGCCCUCCUAGCUCAUGCUUCUUUACCAAUGAAGUUCUGGCAAUAUGCUUUCCAAUCAGCCACUUUUCUCAUCAACAGGAUGCCAAGCAAGGUAUUGGACAAUGUCUCCCCGUAUCACGUUCUGUUUCAUAAAAUUCCUGAGUACAAAUCUUUCAGAGUGUUUGGCUGCCUGUGUUACCCUUUCAUUCGCCCUUAUAACAGUCACAAGUUGCAAUAUAGAUCCCUUCAAUGUAUCUUUCUUGGGUACAACUUCCAAAACAAAGGUUAUUUAUGCCUUGAUCCUCUAACUGAACGUGUAUAUGUUACACCCUACGUUGUGUUUGAUGAAACCAAAUUUCUUCACCCCACACCUCCUCCUCUCAAAGAUUCACCAGCCGAGAUCUUCACUCUUGCUAUAUUGCCCUUUUCCAGUCCCUUACCUCCAAACACCAAUCACUCACCAUCAAACACCAAUCACUCACCAUCACAGCCUGAUUUACCUUUUCAAAGUAACAAUACACAGUUUAUGAGUAGUUCUAUAUCUAUUCCUAUCUCUCGUUCUGGAUCUGCAUCCAUUCCUGAGGAUCAGGAUACUGCUUCUGUCCCAGCUCCACGAAUGACCACCAGAUUGAUGCAUGGUAUAACAAAGACAAAGCCUAUUUUUGAUCUAUCUGCUACAAAACUCUCAGAACCAUCAUCUCUUAGUCAGGCCCUCAAAGAUUCAAACUGGAUUCAAGCUAUGGAUAUUGAGAUUGCUGCUCUACAUAAAAACCACACUUGGGACCUUGUUGACCAGCCUGCUGAAAUUAAUAUAAUCGGUUGCAAGUGGGUGUAUAAGCUGAAGUACAAGCCUGAUGGGAGCAUAGCCAGAUACAAAGCCAGGCUUGUGGCUAAAGGCUAUCAUCAAACUCUUGGACUCGAUUAUUUUGAAACUUUUAGUCCGGUUGUUAAAGCAUAUACUAUUCGUAUCAUCUUAACUGUUGCCAUCAGUUUUCAGUGGGAAAUUCGUCAACUUGAUGUUCACAACGCAUUUCUCAAUGGUGAGUUAAAUGAGCUGGUUUAUAUGACUCAACCUCCAGGGUAUGUCAAUCCUCAGUUUCCCACCAAAGUCUGUCAAUUGAGGAAAGCGUUAUAUGGCUUGAAACAAGCUCCACGAGCUUGGUUUCAACGACUUAGCUCCACUCUUCUACAAUGGGGAUUUCAUCAUUCUAGAACUGACAGCUCAAUGUUUCUUCAUUUUGAUGCAUCCACAACUCUGAUCGUCCUUAUCUAUGUGGAUGAUAUUCUCAUCACAGGGAGCUCCUCUCAUCAAAUUUCUUCCCUCAUUACUAAGCUUGAUUCUGUUUUUGCUUUUACGAGACUUGGGGCAGCUCUCCUAUUUUUUAGGCAUAGAAGUCUCUUAUCUUGCAGGUUCUAUGCAUCUAAGCCAAACUAAGUACACCUCUGACUUACUGCAUCGCACAACAAUGUUUCACACCAAAUCUGCCAAAACUCCUGGCGCUGUUGGGAAAAAUUUGUCCAAGUUUGAUGGUGCUCCUCUGGCACUAAGAUCACUCAGUAUCGCAGUAUCGUAGGUGCUCUUCAGUACCUUACCAUUACUAGGCCUGACAUUGCUUUUGCUGUGAAUAAAGCCUGCCAGUUCAUGCAACAACCAACCACAGCUCACUGGCUCUCUGUCAAAAGAAUACUUCGCUAUCUCAAAGGCACGUUGCAUGGUGGCUUGCUGCUACGUCCUUCCCCUCAUUUGACAAUUGAAGGUUUCACGGAUGCAGAUUGGGGUGCUCAACCUGAUGAUCGCCGCAGUGCGAGUGGUUAUCUUGUUUAUUUAGGGGACAACCUAGUGUCCUGGUCCUCCACCAAACAAAAGGUAGUUUCUCGCAGCAGUGCUGAAUCUGAGUAUCGAGGACUGGUUUUAGCUGCUGCAGAAAUCAUAUGGAUACAAGCCCUCCUACAAGAACUCUGUGUUUCUACUCCUGCUAUUCCUCUCCUCUGGUAUGAUAAUAUCAGUGCUUAUCACCUGGCAAAGAAUCCUGUUUUCCAUGCACGAACGAAGCACAUUGAGAUUGAUCUCCACUUCAUUCGUGAUCAAGUUCUCAAGGGCAAAUUACAACUGCAGUUUGUUUCUACUGAAGAACAGCCAGCUGAUUUACUAACUAAGCACCUCACAAGUGAAAGGUUCUUGUUCCUCAAAUCUCAAUUAUGCCUUGUUCCCAGACCCUUCCACUUGCAGGGGGAUGAUAAACCAUCACUGGAAGAGACAGUUACGUAGCCAAGGAGUUCGUUACAAUUAGUUUCAUAUAACAGAAAAUCAGUUAUCAAAGUCUGUUAAGUUAGUUAUGCCAACUGUUCUGGCAGUUAUUCUUCUUCUGUUAUUUACGUUUUCCUUGUAACAAACUCUACAACAAGAGUUGUAUAUAUAUGUGUUCAAUCUCUGAAUAAUAGUGUAUUGAAACAGAUAUUAAUAUUCUUCUCAAAAUCUUUCUCUCUUGGUGUGACAUCACCGUAAAAGCUGAUUUUUCUCCUCUCCUUUGUCUCAUCAUUGGCUUCUAUUUCAUCCGACAAGUGGUUCAUGAAGACUUUUAGUGGAUCUAAAUUAACCCUUGUUUGCUUCCCCUCGGUUAAUUACCUCUUGGUUUAGAUUUCCUUGUUUUUUCAAAGAUGUUUUUGGUGGCUGCGGAUGAUUCUCAAACCUUUUCUCGCAUGUUUGUUUGUGCCGGGUGGAAUUUUAUUUAAAGUGCAAACUAUAAGUAAUUCAACUCUUGUAAGUAGGUAGUUAAAUAGUUCAUCACUUUGUGUCGGAGAUUACAUUAUGUUUAAAUAAUUGUUAUAUUUUUGUUCAUAGAUUUUUUAGCUAUUUUAUGCGUCAACAGGAGUCGCAGAAGCUGGCCCUUGCUGAAUCCACUGGUCUGGAUCAGAAGCAAAUAAACAACUGGUUCAUUAACCAAAGGAAACGACACUGGAAACCGUCGGAAGACAUGCAGUUUGUGGUGAUGGAUGCCGGCCAUCCUCAUUACUACAUGGAUAAUGUUUUGGGCAAUCCUUUCCCAAUGGACAUCUCUCCCACGCUGCUUUGAAGAUCAUGCAUGCAUGAUACAUGAUUGAUCUUUACUGCUGGAAUGCAAGUGAAAUUCUUCAUACGCUUGCCCCAUUAGACAUGUAAAUUAUAUAUGUUGUGUACUUUUAUGCAUCCGGAGGCUAUCUAAUGUAGUUGAAUGUUGUGAAACCAGCCCGUCUCUUAAUUAUAUAGAUAUAUAUAUAGUAUAGUAAUGUUCUCCACUCUCAAGUGUUGUUUAUAGAUGUGUGUGGGUGCCUGGCUCCUGCUAGGUUAAGACUCUCAGGGCAUAAAGAAAUGCCAUUCUUUUGACUGGGGGCUCCUUGCGAUUAUACUUGCAUGAAUCAUAUCCCGCUUAAGAGGGUGUUUGGGAGUGUGGUAGCGGUUGCUUUUCAAAUAGCUUUUCGUGCCGAAAAGCAUGUCAAUAAUGUUUUUUCAUUUUUUAAAAAUCAUUUUUGACAUCAGCACAUCAAAACGAUCCAAAAAGUACAAACCGCACUUAAUUUUAACAAAAAUAAAAAAUAAAAUUUUUUUGAAUUUUUUCAAAAAGCCGGUUUGGCCGCAAUGCCAAACAGGCACUAAGCCUGUUCCGGGGCCAUGGAUAUCAAAUUGAAGCUUACACGUGUUCUAUGUUUAUCAUUGGUGCAUUACUCCAUUUCCCGUUUACACUAGAGUCUUUUUUGGCUGAAAUGAACUCUUGCUCAUGCGAUAGUUCAUGUUCUAUUUAUGAAGUUUUCAUGUCAAGUCUUUAUUGUUUCGAGUGUUGAUCAUCAUGAUAUGUAUCUGCUUUUGCAUGUCCUUGUGGAAGUCUUAAAACUUCCUAUAUGUGAAUUCGAUUACAGACUCAUUUACUUUCGACAAAAUUUUGGGAUCUAGUCUGGAAAAGGGGGCCGUAUCUGGUGACUUGGUAGGGGUCCGGACCAGGCUUCGAAGGGUCGAGUUGCAGGGCUAGAUCUAGUUUAAUGCCUAUACCUGUCACAAUGUAUAUAGGGGCAAGAGAAUUUACUAGAUUCUCAUUUGAUUAUGCACGAGCAAUGUAAAAUUCAAUCCACGGAACUCGUAAGAUGGUUUAUUUGGAUUUUGAACUUGGAUUUGAUGGGAAUUUUACGUUACAGUUUAUUUAGAAAGAAAAAGGGAUUGGAAUAUUUGUAAAAAGGAAACAAGAUUGAUUAGUAAAUUUUUCAGAAUGAUAUUGAUCUUACUAUAAUCCAAUCUCACAUGAAUUUCAAUAAUUGAAUCUAUGGGAUCCCCUAAUUGAAUCCAUACAAUAAUUUCUUUGGAAAGUUUAAACAAGUCAAUAAAAUCCAAUCAAAUGCUUCAGUACAAAUUUCCAAGAAAAAACCUCUUGUAAUUUUAAUUUAUUGCAAUAAUACUCUUAUCAAUCCAUUACAAGCUCUAUAAUAAUCUAAUUGAUUCUUCAUGCCUGUUGACUUCUAUAAUUAUUAUUAUUGGCUUUGUUAUAGGUUUUUGUUUUUUGAAUAACUAGCUUUAUAUUUUUUAGAAAAAUUAAUUUGAAUAUUUUGUAUAGUACUGAAAAGACUUUGAUGUAUACAUCCAUCUAAUCAGAAAUUAUUUCCACCUAUAUAUUAUACUUACUUUCAUUGAUUUGUAAUUGUUUUGAAAGAAAAUGGAUUUUCUUCCCUUCUCUUCGAUGCUCGACCAAUGCUUUUAUUAAAUCCAUAAUCUCAUCUUAUAAUACCUAAAAAGUAACUGCAGAAAUCAUAAUAAAACUUAACUUUAAAUUUUCCUCCAAUACCUCAUUUACCAAUACUACAUAUCUAGUACCUAUAAUAACAUAAUAUUUUUCAUAACCUAGAUAAAAUAACUUCAAUGCUAACAUUUCUUUUUUGAAGAA
rnacentral:lncRNA from 1 species